GCUGGAGACCCCCAAAAAAUCCCCAAAAUCCUUCAGGUGGGUUUGGGGUCCCCCCCAGGUGAAUUUGGGACCCCCCAGGUGAGUUUUGGGGUCCCCCAGGUGAGGUUUGGGACCCCCCAAAACCCCCAAACCACGCCCGGGGUCGGUCAGGGGUGGGAGGAGUUUAAUGCAGGUGAGUCCAGAUGUGCCCAGGUCAGUCCAGGUGAGCUCAGGUGAGUCCAGAUGUGCCCCAGAUGUGCCCCAGAUGUGCCCAGGUGAGCUCAGGUGAGUCAGUGCAGCAGCUCCAGGCAGCGACAGCCCCGAAAAU
rnacentral:lncRNA from 1 species